AAAUUGCUUACAAAUAUAGAGUGGGUAGCUGCAGAAGGAUUCUCUCAGACCCUGCAGGCCAAGCAAAGGAGCCGCCCGAGUGCACCCGGGGUCCAGGUCGUCUGACUUGAGCGCCCAGGACCCCUGGCUCCCUGCCGCAGCCCCCGGCCUGCCCGUUCUUCCUCUGAUCUUGUCCCCCCUCUUCCUGGAAUAUGUGGGUCACUCCAGGACGUACAUAGAGAGGUUUUCCCUGUCUGCCUGUUUGGAAGGGGCUGCCUCCUCCUCCGCACUAGGUCCUCCCCUCCGUGCCGCAGCUGCCCCCUAGCACCGGGAGUGAGAGGCGGCCAGCUGGGCUCUGCCCAGACGGUGGCUGAAGGCGCUGGCACUCACGAGGCACCGCAGAUCCCCUGGCGGCACCGCGCGCCUGCUUGGUGGGUCCCUCACCGCCGCUUGUGAUGCGGCUCCUCUGCUGUGGCUUUCAGCCCGACAGGCCUGCUUGCACAGUGCAGGAAUGCACGGGAAGUGACAGCCGAUCCUCCAAGUGAGGCGGCUGAAGUCCAGCCUCGUCAUCAUCUUUUCGUGGUAAAACAAAGCAGACUCGGUUCUUUCUGCACAGACAGCGUUUCGGCAGCUCCGUGUUUCCCUUCAGGAGUGGGGCAGCGGCUGUGGCUGAGUCAGCUCCCGGGCGGGGGACCCUGCCAUCGGGGUUUCUUCAGAGCUCUGAUACCAGUGUGUGACUUCACGGUGGAGAUGAAGCCGAGAGGACGCCAACGCGCCCAGGUCUCAGGCAAGGGCACCACGAUGUCGUCCCACCCGGCCCCUGGAAAAAAAUUGAAAAGCAGCAGAGCCAGACCAUCUCCGUUUUCACCACAGUAGCCGGGCUUGGUGUUUGAAUGACGCCUUUCCACUCUCAUGUCCACACCCGCCCAUGGAGGACGCUGGUCACCUGCAGUCGCUGUGCCCAGUCCAGACGCACGAUCCCAUGGCCGAGCAGUGCUGGAGUGUUCCCACAGGUUCACCUAGCGUUAGAAGAAGUGCCAAGAUCGACUAGUGAUGUCUGCUGUGGGCGAGGAAGAUGCAGGUGAGGAAGAUACUGUUCCCAUGCUAAACCCUCAUCGGUUCCUAGCGGAGCCAACUUCACCCACGUGUGUUCUGUUAUUCUGGAUUUAGGCCAUUGUUGUUUAAUAGUUAUUAACUUUAGAAGAUUUUUGUCUUGAUCACUCAAUAACAAAAACAAAGAAAAAAUGGAGAUUGCAUUUAUCUUCAAAAAACAUCCUUGUUCUUUUCUGGAAACAAGUGGGUGUCUCACAGGAAGGCAGUCAGUGCGCCCUGUUUCCAUGGCCACAGCACUUGGGCAGCCAUCGACCUAAUGAGUAACGAGAGCAGUGUGAUGUCUGUUUUGUGCGCACUGCUGCUGUGUGGAAGGAAACCGCACUUCCAGCCGGACUUGCCCUGAGCGCACCCAGCCCUCCCUGCAGAGGCUGAGGGGGGGAAGAGGACG
rnacentral:lncRNA from 1 species